UUGGUGAUUGUUGAUCCAAGGGCCGUCGGGGCUUGAUCUUGGAAGAACGAUGAACGAAGAACGAAGAACACUUUCUUCAAGGGCCGUCGGGGCUUGAUCUUGAAUUGGUGAUUGUUGAUCCAAGGGAUGUCGGGGCUUGAUCUUUGAAGAACGAUGAACGAAGAACGAAGAACGCUUUCUUGAUUCUUCGGGAACCUGGAUGCUUG
rnacentral:lncRNA from 1 species